GAUAGAGGAUGCUCUGAAACACGUGGAUUACUUUAGAUAUUCUACAAUAGAGGUCGCCAAAAACCAUUUUUCUCGCAUUUUUGAACAGCGUCUUUAAAAAAAAAUCGACGGAUACAGGGUAUCCAGAAAUUAGCCGGUCAAACUACAAUAGCAUAUUGGACGUCAAAAUUUCUAUUAAUAUUUCAGAAACAUGUUCAAAGAAAGUUUUGCUGUUUCGGCGUUUUAUUAAUUUUUGCCCUGCUGAAUUCGGCUCUAAAAUUAUGAAUCUCAAAUGUCGGUCAGGAAUCCGAAAAGGGAUAUUCUGUUACGAUUGACAUCAGUCGGAUGGAUUGUUCUCGAAGAAUGAAAAAUUAUCUCUUUAGAUGAUUUCAGUACCAGUACUUUCGGCAUGGUGUACGAAACUAAUUUACAGUUUUGCUAACAACUGGACAAAUAGAGGGGGGCCCAUUAAUCUGAAUAGCUGGACCGUCUUACUUAAACCCGCUAGCUUAUUAUCUCUUAGGCUCACAAACGAGAGGGACAGAGCUGAAGAACUGAAGAAAAUUAAUACGUCUUCGACAAAACGGUUACCAAGGGCGCAUUAUCAGCAAGGCAAUCAGUAAACAACAACAGCCACAGCAGAGAGUGCAGGACGAGACCCAACAAAGAUCGAUCGCUGUCCUGCCAUACAUCAAGGGGGUUACUGACAAAAUCGGCCGAAUAUUACGGAAACACGACAUAUCAACGGCAUACAAACUUGAUCAUACCAUCGGAGCAAUACUAAGAAACCCAAAACAAAAAAUGACUCUGGAAAACCAAGGAGUAUACAGUGUAGCAUGCGGAUCGUGCAGCCUGACGUAUGUGGGACAGACCAACAGAAGGAUUUCAGCCAGGCUCGAGGAACAUCGUUUAGCCAUAAGAAACAAACAAACAACAUCUGCUUUGUUUCAGCACCAACAUCAGACAGGCCAUAAAAUUGAUUUCGAUACUUGCAAACAAAUAGCUAAUAUUCCAGAUUUUAGGACUAGGAUUAUACGAGAGGCCAUCGAGAUAGAAAAGUCCGGACACCUGAAUACGAGAGACGACGCUCUGCAUUUAUCCAAUACGUGGAGAACGAUAAUCAAACAGCAGAGCGAUACGCAGCAGCCAACGGGAACAUCGCAACUACAAUCGGGCGAAAUUAACCGACAAUUCGG